rnacentral:rRNA from 1 species
AGUGAACGCUGGCGGUAGGCCUAACACAUGCAAGUCGAACGGCAGCACAGUAAGAGCUUGCUCUUACGGGUGGCGAGUGGCGGACGGGUGAUGAAUACCUCGGUAUCUACUUUUUCGUGGGUGAUAACGUAGGGACACUUACGCUAAUACCGCAUACGACCUACGGGUGAAAGCAUGGGAUCUUCGGACCUUGCGCGAUUGAAUGAGCCGAUGUCGGAUUAGCUAGUUGGCGGGGUAAAGGCCCACCAAGGCGACGAUCCGUAGCUGGUCUGAGAGGAUGAUCAGCCACACUGGAACUGAGACACGGUCCAGACUCCUACGGGAGGCAGCAGUGGGGAAUAUUGGACAAUGGGCGAAAGCCUGAUCCAGCCAUACCGCGUGGGUGAAGAAGGCCUUCGGGUUGUAAAGCCCUUUUGGUGGGAAAGAAAAGCAGCAGGUUAAUACCCCGCUGUUCUGACGGUACCAAAAGAAUAAGCACCGGCUAACUUCGUG